UCCUACGGGACGCAGCAGUGGGGAAUAUUGCACAAUGGGGGAAACCCUGAUGCAGCGACGCCGCGUGAAGGACGAAGUAUUUCGGUACGUAAACUUCUAUCAGCAGGGAAGAAAAUGACGGUACCUGACCAAGAAGCCCCGGCUAACUACGUGCCAGCAGCCGCGGUAAUACGUAGGGGGCAAGCGUUAUCCGGAUUUACUGGGUGUAAAGGGAGCGUAGACGGCCAUGCAAGUCUGACGUGAAAACCCGGGGCUCAACCCCGGGACUGCAUUGGAA
rnacentral:rRNA from 1 species